UACGUAGGGUCCGAGCGUUGUCCGGAAUUACUGGGCGUAAAGCGCGCGCAGGCGGCCCGCGAGGUGUCACGUGAAAGCCCCGGGCUCAACCCGGGAGGGUCGUGGCAAACCGGCGGGCUUGAGGCCGGUAGAGGUGGGUGGAACUCCUGGUGGAGUGGUGAAAUGCGUAGAGAUCAGGAAGAACACCCGUGGCGAAGGCGGGUCUCUGGGCAGUAACUGACGCUGAGGAGCGAAAGCGUGGGGAGCGAACAGG
rnacentral:rRNA from 1 species